rnacentral:rRNA from 1 species
UCGGACGGUAGUCACAGUAGGAGGCUUGCUCCUUGGGUGUACGAGUGGCGGACGGGUGCAGCUAAUGUCUGGGGAUCUGCCCGAUAGAGGGGGAUAACCACUGGAAACGGUGGCUAAUACCGCAUAACGUCGCAAGACCAAAGAGGGGGACCUUCGGGCCUCUCACUAUCGGAUGAACCCAGAUGGGAUUAGCUAGUAGGCGGGGUAAUGGCCCACCUAGGCGACGAUCCCUAGCUGGUCUGAGAGGAUGACCAGCCACACUGGAACUGAGACACGGUCCAGACUCCUACGGGAGGCAGCAGUGGGGAAUAUUGCACAAUGGGCGAAGCCUGAUGCAGCCAUGCCGCGUGUAUGAAGAAGGCCUUCGGGUUGUAAAGUACUUUCAGCGGGGAAGAAGGCGAUGCGGUUAAUAACCGCGUCGAUUGACGUUACCCCGCAAAGAAGCACCGGCUAACUUCGUGCCAGCAGCCGCGGUUAAUACGGAAGGGUGGCAAGCGUUC